AUUUUCUGCCACCGAAUACAUUAGCAUGGGAUAAUGGAAUAGGACCCUGUCCUCCUAUUUUCAGUUGGUUUUGGCAGCGCGAGGACUAGGGUAAUGAUUAAUAGGGAUAGUUGGGGGCAUUAAUAUUUAAUUGUCAGAGGUGAAAUUCUUGGAUUUAUGAAAGAUUAACUUCUGCGAAAGCAUCUGCCAAGGAUGUUUUCAUUAAUCAAGAACGAAAGUUAGGGGAUCGAAGACGAUCAGAUACCGUCGUAGUCUUAACCAUAAACSAUGCCGACCAGCGAUUAGGAGACGUUGAAUACAAAACACCACCAUCGGYGCGGUCGUCCUUGGCGUCUCGGYCCUUSRGSGGGCCSGGGCGCGGGGGUGGCUUAKGCCGGUGGYRCCKGUGAAUGACUCCC
rnacentral:rRNA from 1 species